CACAACAGUCCCUGAAGCGGGAGCAAGUUGAUCGAUUCCCAGCCGCGCGAGAUGGAGUCCGGAUGAGGAGCAGCCGGGACUGAGCCUCGUGCGCGCCGUGGAUCCGUCCCGCCACGCAUGGAUCCGGCGCGAAGUUGGCUCCGUUCCGCCACAGCUGGCUGCGCUGCUCGUGGACGCGACCGGAGCUGGAGCGCGAGGACGCCGACUCCGUGAGUGGCUCCCGGGGAAAGUUCGCGCGUGAGCUGCGGCGGAGGGAUGCGACCUGUGGCCCCGGCGGACCCCGGCCAGGCGCGAGACCGCGCGCAGAGCAGCAGCCGGCCGGACACAGAGACCGAAGCCCACAAUGCUGAGUUGAGGGUGGAGUGGACUCGUGGAGGGUGGAGCUGACGUCUCUCUCCCCUGCUGUCCUGCCCCUGUUUUUUACUCCCCUCUUCCUCUGGAGCUGCCCCACAGCCCCCCACCCCCCACAUCCUCCCCCCCACAGCACACAUGCAGGCCACCAAGCGGUACCUGCUCGUGUCUGUGGGGGGCGCUCUGACCUUCCUCCUCUACCUGUGGGCUCUGCAAGUCCAGUUCCAGCCGAACCAGUACCAGGAGGUCCAGCAGCAGUACCAGGACUACGGUCCCAGCCAGGACGUGUACCACCUGAGGCCUCAGCCUCCCGUGGAGAGGAGGCCGCCCCGAGCCCCCCGGCACUGGCCCCAGCCCCCGCAGCCGCUGGAGCCGUACCUGGAGUGGGGCGAGCAGGAGGAGGACAGUCCUCAGCUCCACCACCAGCACAGCUCGCCCAGCGAACGGCGGGCCAUCCGGGACCACCUCUACAGGAACAAGCGCUGCCGCAUGGAGACCUGCUUCGACUUCUCCCGCUGCCAGCUUGGCUUCCGCGUCUACAUCUACCCGCCACAGGGGGGCGACCGGAUCUCCAGCACCUACCAGAAGAUCCUGUCGUCCAUCCAGGACUCCCGCUUCCACACCACGGACCCCAGCAAGGCCUGCGUGUUUGUCCUGGCCGUGGACACCCUGGACAGGGACCGGCUGUCGGGACACUAUGUCCACAACGUCAAAUCCAGGAUCCAAAGUCUGCCCACGUGGAACGACGGCCGGAACCACCUCAUCUUCAACCUCUACUCUGGGACUUGGCCCGACUACACAGAGGACCUGGGCUUCGAGGUGGGCCAGGCCCUGCUGGCCCGGGCCAGCGCAGACAUGCUCAACUUCAGACCCAACUUCGACAUCUCCGUCCCUCUCUUCUCCAAGGAGCACCCGCUGAAGGGCGGCGAGCGGCUCGCACUCCGCACCUCCAGGAGAUUCCGGCUAGUCUUUAAAGGGAAACGCUACCUGACCGGCAUCGGCUCAGAGACCAGGAACGCUCUGCACCACAUUCACAACGGCGAGGAUAUUAUCCUGCUGACCACGUGCAAGCACGGCAAGGACUGGCAGAAGCACAAGGACGCCCGCUGCGACCGGGACAACCUGCAGUACUCCAAGUUUGACUACCUGGAGCUGCUGCACAACUCCAGCUUCUGUCUGGUCCCGAGGGGCCGGCGUCUAGGGUCCUUCCGGUUCCUAGAGGCUCUGCAGGCAGGCUGUGUUCCCGUCAUCCUCAGUAACGGCUGGGAGCUUCCCUUCUCUGAGGUCAUCGACUGGAAGAAGGCAGCCAUCGUGGGCGACGAGCGGCUGCUGCUGCAGAUCCCCACCAUCACUCGGGCGGUGAGCCAAGAGAAGGUCUGGGCACUGCGGCAGCAGACCCAGUUCCUCUGGGACGCCUACUUCUCCUCCGUGGACAAGAUCGUCUCCACCACGCUGGAGAUCCUUCAGGACCGCGUGGCCGCUCACCAGUCCAGGAGCCGGCUGAUGUGGAACCUCCUGCCCGGUGGUCUCUAUGCACUCCCCCAGUUCUCCACCGACCUCAGCCAGUUCCCCUUUUACUACGCGGCCCUGGGCAGGCGGCCGCAGCAGCAGUUCACGGCGGUGGUCCACCUGCUGACCCCCCUGCAGGCCCAGAUGUCCCCGCUGGUGAAGCUCAUCCUCGCCGUAGCCAAGUCCAAGUUCUGUGCACAGAUGGUGGUCCUGUGGAACGUGGACAAGCCUUUACCUCCCCGGAACAACUGGCCCCCCACCAGUGUGCCUCUCACCGUCCUGCAGGGCCGCAGCAAGACGAUGAGCAGUCGUUUCAUCCACCGCGACAUCAUCGCCACAGACGCCGUCCUCAGCCUCGACGAAGACGCGGUGCUGUCCACCAAUGAGGUGGAUUUCGCCUUCGUGGUGUGGCAGAGCUUCCCAGAGCGGAUUGUGGGCUACCCAGCCCGGAGUCACUACUGGGACCCGUCCAGGUCUCGAUGGGGCUACACAUCCAAGUGGACCAACGACUACUCCAUGGUCCUGACCGGCGCCGCCUUCUACCACCGGUACUACCACUUCCUGUUCAGCCACUACGUCCCGGCCCGGCUGAGGGCGGAGGUGGACCGGCGGGACAACUGCGAGGACAUCCUCAUGAACUUCCUGGUGUCGGCCGUCACCAAGCUGCCGCCCGUCAAGGUCACGCAGAAGAAGCAGUACAAGGAGACCAUGAUGAUGCAGGGCUCCCGGGCCUCCCGCUGGGCCGACCCGGACCACUUCGCCCAGCGUCAGACCUGCAUGAGCGUCUUCGCCGGCUGGCUGGGCUUCAUGCCGCUGCAGCGCUCGCAAAUGAGGCUGGACCCGCUGCUGUUCCGGGACCAGGUGUCCGUCCUGAGGAAGAAGUACCGCCACAUCGAGAGGCUGUGACUCUCCAGGCACCCACACCCUUGCAUGACUCCUGACACAAAUCCAAGUCAGUGGACUGGCAGCAGGAUGGAGCAGCGACCUGCACUCAGAACUCUGUAUUCCCACUGCCAGUGAAGGCAGCACGAGCGACGAGGUCGUCCGUCUUGCUACAGCAGUGUGUGUGUAUGUUCAGGUGCACGAGCCAGAGAGCGGUGGAAAGUGAUUUAUGGAGGGGAGCUGCUGGAAAGCUCAGGCACAGCGCCGCCUGGAAAUCCUGAUGAAACCUGUGACUGUCCUCCGUCUUCCAGCGAGUGUGUGUGUGCGUGUGAACGUGGAGUCACCGGCGCCGUGUCUUCAGCUGGCUGGUGUGUCAGGUCCAAAACUGGUCAGAAGUUCUCCGAGACUGACGUCACAGACAGAGCGCGAUCAUCUCGCGUGCAACAGCGACCUCGUGCGGUCAAUCAAGUCACAGCAGCUGAAAUGGACUGAUGGAGGUGACAUCACUGUGACAGACACGAGGGGAUCACGUGACCUGCGGAGCAGCUUAGCCUUGCACGUGUGUGUGUGUCAGAGCUUUGAAUCCCAUUUCUCUGGAACCAAACUGCAGGUGCGGUCACCUGGGUCAGCUGACCGCCGUUCGUGACCCCUGAGGCUCCUCCUCUCUUCUCCAGCACAACGUCUCUUCAUCCGUCUUCUCACUCUCUACACCGUGUGUCUGUUACUGAACCUUCU